GAUGAACGCUAGCUACAGGCUUAACACAUGCAAGUCGAGGGGCAGCAUGUCGGUUGCUUGCAACCGAUGAUGGCGACCGGCGCACGGGUGAGUAACGCGUAUCCAACCUACCCUUGUCCAUCGGAUAACCCGUCGAAAGGCGGCCUAACACGAUAUGCGGUUCUCAGCAGGCAUCUAACGAGAACGAAAUGUGAAGGAGAAGGAUGGGGAUGCGUCUGAUUAGCUUGUUGGCGGGGUAACGGCCCACCAAGGCGACGAUCAGUAGGGGUUCUGAGAGGAAGGUCCCCCACAUUGGAACUGAGACACGGUCCAAACUCCUACGGGAGGCAGCAGUGAGGAAUAUUGGUCAAUGGACGGGAGUCUGAACCAGCCAAGUAGCGUGCAGGAUGACGGCCCUAUGGGUUGUAAAACUGCUUUUAUGUGGGAAUAAAGUCAGGGACGUGUCCCUGUUUGCAUGUACCACAGGAAUAAGGACCGGCUAAUUCCGUGCCAGCAGCC
rnacentral:rRNA from 1 species